rnacentral:rRNA from 1 species
CCCUUAGAUGUUCUGGGCCGCACGCGCGCUACACUGACGAAGUCAGCGAGCAUGUCCUACGCCGACAGGUGCGGGGAAUCUUGUCAAACUUCGUCGUGAUGGGGAUUGAUUAUUGAAAUUCUUGAUCAUCAACGAGGAAUUCCUAGUAAGCGCAAGUCAGCAGCUUGCGUUGAUUACGUCCCUGCCCUUUGUACACACCGCCCGUCGCUACUACCGAUUGAGUGAUCCGGUGAAUAAUUCGGACUGCAGCAGUGUUCAGUUCCUGAACGUUGCAGCGGAAAGUUUAGUGAACCUUAUCACUUAGAGGAAGGAGAAGUCGUAACA